AUGAAGACCGGCGCCGGUGAGGCUGUCAAGUCGCAGGUGGCCGGGCUGCGGGCCGGGGCCAUCGUCAAGCUCAACGCCGCCUUCCUCGCCUUCUUCUUCCUCGUCUACAUGGCCCUCCUGCUCCACCCCAAGUACUCCCACAUCCUCGACCGCGGCGCCUCCUCUCUCGUCCGCUGCACCUUCCGCGACGCCUGCCCGUCCACGUCCCACCUCUCACGGAAGCCGGGAGGAAGAUCAGUGGCGGCGGCGAACAAGGUGGUGGCGACGGAGCGGAUCGUGAACGUGGGGCGCGCGCCGACCAUGUUCAACGAACUGCGCGGCCGGCUGCGGAUGGGCCUGGUGAACAUCGGCCGCGACGAGCUGCUGGCGCUGGGCGUGGAGGGCGAUGCGGUGGGCGUGGACUUCGACCGCGUGUCGGACGUGUUCCGGUGGUCGGACCUGUUCCCGGAGUGGAUCGACGAGGAGGAGGAGGACGGGGUGCCGUCCUGCCCGGAGAUCCCCAUGCCGGACUUCUCCCGGUACGACGACGACGUGGACGUGGUGGUGGCGGCGCUGCCGUGCAACCGGACGGCGCAGGGGUGGAACCGCGACGUGUUCAGGCUGCAGGUGCACCUGGUGGCGGCGCAGAUGGCGGCGCGCAAGGGGCGGCGCGACGGUGCCGGCCGGGUGCUCGUCGUGCUGCGGAGCGAGUGCGAGCCGAUGAUGGACCUGUUCCGGUGCGACGAGUCCGUGGGGCGGGAGGGGGACUGGUGGAUGUACACCGUCGACGUGGCGCGCCUCCAAGACAAGCUCCGCCUGCCCGUCGGCUCCUGCAAUCUCGCGCUGCCGCUCUGGGGGCCAACAGGCAUCCACGAGGUGUUCAACGCGUCGGACCUGACGGCGGUGGACGCCGGCAGCCAGCGGCGCGAGGCGUACGCGACGGUGCUACACUCGUCGGACAGGUAUCUAUGCGGCGCCAUCGUGCUGGCGCAGAGCAUCCGGCGGUCGGGCUCCACCCGCGACAUGGUCCUCCUCCACGACCACACCGUCUCCAAGCCGGCCCUCCGCGCGCUGGUCGCCGCCGGGUGGAUCCCGCGCAGGAUCCGGCGCAUCCGCAACCCGCGCGCGGAGCGGGGCUCCUACAAUGAGUACAACUACAGCAAGUUCCGGCUGUGGCAGCUGACGGAGUACUUCCGCGUCGUCUUCAUCGACGCCGACAUCCUCGUCCUCCGCUCCCUCGACGUGCUCUUCCGCUUCCCGCAGAUCUCCGCCGUGGGCAAUGACGGCUCCCUGUUCAACUCCGGGAUCAUGGUGAUCGAGCCGUCGGCGUGCACGUUCGAGGCGCUCGUCCGCGGGCGGCGCACCAUCCGGUCCUACAACGGCGGCGACCAGGGGUACCUGAACGAGGUGUUCGUGUGGUGGCACCGGCUGCCGCGCCGGGUGAACUACCUCAAGAACUUCUGGGCCAACACGACCGGGGAGCGGGCGCUCAAGGAGCGGCUGUUCAGGGCGGAGCCGGCGGAGGUGUGGUCCAUCCACUACCUUGGGCUCAAGCCGUGGCGGUGCUACAGGGACUACGACUGCAACUGGAAUAUCGACGACCAGCGCGUGUACGCCAGCGACGAGGCGCACCGGCGGUGGUGGCAGGUGUACGACCAGAUGGGGGAGGUGAUGCGGGGCCCGUGCGCGCUGUCGGAGCGGAGGAAGAUCGAGAUCGCGUGGGAUAGGCACGUCGCCCAGGAGAUCGGCUACGCCGACCAGCACUGGAAGAUCAACAUUACCGACCCCAGGAAGUGGGAGUAG
rnacentral:rRNA from 1 species